rnacentral:lncRNA from 1 species
UCAGCAAAUCCAUUAACUGAAAAGCCCAAUAAGGGGAGUUACAACUUACAAGUUAUACAAUAAACUCAAAUUGAAGCCCAAGAAAAUCCAAACCCACAGAGUUAAGCACGUGUCUCGAUACUUGUUACAAAGAAACCAAAACAACAACGUGUGGUGAGAAGGAUUUCAAUCGUCGCCGCUUCAGUAUCAUCGCAAAACGCCGGUGGAAUUCCGAUCAUCCACAUCUCAGCAAGCUGCCGUGACUUGGAUUCUUCGACCCUGAUUGUACCACUGAAGCAUCUUCCUCUCUAGAUUUCGCCAGCGGUAAUAGAUGAAUCUUCCCCCAAAUCAUCAAAAUAGCUUCAACGAAAACCUAAUCGAUUUGACAGCUAAUCCGUUGAACAGGAAACCAAACAAAACAAACCGGAUUAGAACCGGAAAUAAAAUCGGACAAAGCCGAAAGGAAAUCCGGACUCGUCGGAAUUUAUUAUAACCGGAUCAAACCGGAAAGCCGAUCCGAUGUUAAUCGGAAUUUACAGCAAAACUGAGAAAAAAACUCUCUCUCUCUUAGUGAUUUUAAUAUUUUUUUUUUGCGUUAUUUUUUUGGUUUUUUUUUUUGCGUUAUUUUGCAUCAUCAUCCUUUAACUUACUUACUUAUAACUGCUCAACUAGUCAGCUCUGAAGAUAUCAAAACUCUUUGAACUUAUCAUAAUAGCAUAUAAAUGUUACUGAUAUUCUUUACCUAAAUCCUAAUCGCUUACUGUUAUCAUUUAAAUUGGAUGCAAUAUAUGUGUGAAUAAAAUGAAAACUUUUUAUUGCUUAAAUGAAAACUUAAAUGUGG